rnacentral:tRNA from 1 species
GGUGAGGUGGAUGAGUGGCUGAAAUCAGUAGUUUGCUAAACUGCCGUACGGGUAACUCUGUACCGCGGGUUCGAAUCCCGCCCUCACCGCAA